rnacentral:rRNA from 1 species
GCUUGUCUCAAAGAUUAAGCCAUGCAUGUCUAAGUGUAAAUAAGUCUAUACUGUGAAACUGCGAAUGGCUCAUUAAAUCAGUUAUCGUUUAUUUGAUGAUCUCUUACUACUUGGAUAACCGUAGUAAUUCUAGAGCUAAUACAUGCACAAAAUCCCGACUUACGAAGGGAUGUAUUUAUUAGAUACAAACCAACAUCGUGGUGAUUCAUAAUAACUUUGCGAAUCGUAUGGCCUUGUGCUAGCGACAGUCCACUCGAUUUUCUGCCCUAUCAUGGUUGAGAUUGUAAGAUAGAGGCUUACAAUGCCUACAACGGGUAACGGGGAAUUAGGGUUCGAUUCCGGAGAGGGAGCCUGAGAAACGGCUACCACAUCCAAGGAAGGCAGCAGG